GCACCGUUUCAGUAUUUCUGCUUUUUUUAAUUCAAUUAUAAAGUCAGCUUUGUAUUUUCUUGGACCAGGGAUGCCUGAGUUCUCCACUUACUUUUAACGGUUGAGGGUUCGACCAUCCUGGAUGCAGAGUUUGCAUGUUCUCCCAGUGCUUCUUGGGGUUUCCUACAAAGAAAUAAGCUGUAGGUUGGCAUGCAGUUCUAAAUUUUUCAUGGUGUGCGUGUGUGUGUGUUUGUUUGUGAUUGCGCCCUGUAAUAAUUUGGCACCCUAUCUAGAAUGUCCCCUGCCUUGUCCCCAGGGUCUGGCACCCGGUUCCCAGACUGGCACCCGGUUCCCAGAAACCAGAAAGAGCAACGGUCAACAUCCAAAAAAAAACUUCAUAAUGUUCUGCUUGAAGCUUAACUUGAUGUCCAUAAUGUAUUGAUAUUUAUAUGGCUUGUUUUUUCCUUUUUAUAAAAUAUGUUUAAGGUUCAAGAGGUCCUGUGAAGUGCAAUCAUAUUUUUGCUUUGUGCUCAGAUUGGUUUGUCUUUGUGUUCCACAUCAUGUACUGCUUAAAGAACUGGUAUUCUGACAGUGUGGCCCUGAACACCAAACCCAUCCGCCUGUCCAUCUUCCUCAUUGCCGGUGAGUGUGCAGGUUUUCCAGCUCUUAUUUGGGCUCUCAGUGUACUGUACCUCCAUUAUAAGAGCGGAGGUCGAACCUCAGUCUUCGCCGUCUUCCUCCUCCUCAGUGACCUGCUGGAGCUGAUCCUGACUCCAUUCCUUGUAACAUACAUAUUCAAAGAGGACUUUAAUCCAUGUGGAAUCAUUUUUGGACUAUUGUUUGGAGCCAGGCUUCUUGGGCAACUGCUUCACCAGACAGUUAUAAGAUAUCUAUUACCUGUUGAUGUUUUCUCUCCUCCCUGCUCUAUCGUAUUCUUCAUUGUUUUUCUUCUAGCAGUUGGAUGUCAUUUCAUACAAAAAACCAUAUAUGUGAUAACUGUAUUUGCAGGCAUAUUACCUCUAAUUGUGUGUGCAUAAAUAUUAACUUGGAAAGUACCUCAUGACAGCGACCAGGCCAUAGACAGAAAGCCUGGUGUGCUGGUUAUAACUGUUGCCAUGUUUACAUUGAUCCUUAUAUACAUACCAUUUUUCUUGACUGAUUUUACUGACAUUCCUUUCAUUUUGGACUGUUUAACAAGUGUGAGAUUAAUCUCUGAUCCCCUCCUGUGUGUACUCGUCUGCAAGGAGCUCGGUUUCAAUUCACAUACAGAUCGUACAGAAGGAUCAAGUGCAUUAAAUUAGCAGCUUUGAAUUAGCAGGACAAACAGUAGGUUGUGUUUUGUGAUGUUAUUGCAGUGUGUAUAUUAUCAGUUUUGCAGAAAUGGAGGUCAACAUACAGAAAUUAUUUACACCAGUCUACAGGCAUGUAAUUGUGUUCAGUUCUUGCUGGUUUGUUUGUGGUUAAAAUGUUCUCAGUCAUGUUAGACACACAUUCUUACAAUCCCUUCUAUAGGAACAAAUUGCUUUUGCAAAAAUAUUAGUGUGUUGUUUCUGUUUCCUUUUUUUUUCUUUUCAGGUAGACCUGUUUUUUUUUCUUUUUCACUUUUUUUAAUCAUUUGUGCAUGGGCUUGUGUGAAUGUGUGUAUUUUUAGAACCAGAACUCCUAAGUUUUUAUUUGAAAUAAAUGUUUAUUUUCAUGCA